UACGAAGGGGGCUAGCGUUGUUCGGAGUUACUGGGCGUAAAGGGCGCGUAGGCGGCGCACCAAGUCAGGCGUGAAAACCCUGGGCUCAACCCGGGAAUUGCGCUUGAGACUGGUGUGCUUGAGUACGGGAGAGGAUAGUGGAAUUCCCAGUGUAGAGGUGAAAUUCGUAGAUAUUGGGAAGAACACCGGUGGCGAAGGCGGCUAUCUGGACCGUAACUGACGCUGAGGCGCGAAAGCGUGGGGAGCAAACAGG
rnacentral:rRNA from 1 species